AUGGACUGGUUUUCCAAACGGCUUACAGCAUCUCAAGCAUACCAUAUUGUUUACACAUCCACAUCAUCGAGCAGCUCCUAUUAUUUACAAAUCAUGUUGCCUCUUCUAGAAUGCUCGCCUUUUCAUUUCAUGCUUUUGCCCCAGACUACCCUCAUACACACACCUGUGUUCUGUCUGGAACAUUCCUUUUCCAAUUUCAAAAUCCAAUUCAAGAACUGCCUCCUUCUAAAAGGGUUUAACUGUGUCACCUGCUCUCUGUAAUCUUUGUGUCCUCUAAUGCAUUUAUAAUUGCAGCUUUUCAUGUGCUAAUUAAUAUAUUCUUUCUCCAGCCCUAGAUUAUGAGCUUCCUGCAGGCAGGGCCUGCACCUGAUUUGUAUCUACCCAGGACCUAGCACAGAAUCACACGGAAGGUGCUCCUUCCUGUCUGUUUGACUGGCUAGAGUCAAGGAAACCUUUAAAGAAUAUGUUCUUGCUUUUGUUGGCUUCAGAGUCACAAAAGAGUUCUGAGCCCUUGGCAGACCCUGUUGUUCUGUAAUUGAUAAGAGGCCUUUGUCAAUACUGAGACACUGAACAAAGCAGCUCUUUGAGAAAAUAUUAGAACCAUCUUCACUUAUGUUUCCAGAAGCUUGCAGUAGCAAGCCUACCAGCAGCCUCAGCAAAUUACACAAACCUAUUUCCAUUUCUGAACUUUCAUAAUUUCUAAGGGCAGAUGCAAGGAGAGAAAUACAAAUGCUUCUUCAGAUAAAGGUUGUGAGCCUGCUUUAAAUCACUUAGAAGCUCUGCUCUAUGGAGCCAAAAAUCAUAUCGAAACAAAAUAUUUUUACCAAGAAUGGAAUUUCUAAGAUACUACAUCCUUCACAGUGACAACAUAAUGGCAAAUUAUGACCCACCAAACUCAGAGGAGCAACAUUAUGUCUGAAGAAAUACAGAUCAAAUCAAUGCUAAGCAGUGGGUCUUUUUCAUGGAAAAUUAACAAGGUAAUCACCCAGGCUUCUGGGUGUUAAAUCACUAGCAAAGAGCAGUGACUCCUCUGAGAAUGGCCAGACCAACCAUGAACUGAUGUAUCAUGACAGAGGUCAUCAAUAACCAAUAUACAGGUGCUUAUAUAUAUGAAUAUUUAUAAA
rnacentral:lncRNA from 1 species